UACGUAGGGUCCGAGCGUUGUCCGGAAUUAUUGGGCGUAAAGAGCUCGUAGGCGGUCUGUUGCGUCGGUUGUGAAAUCUCCGGGCUUAACCCGGAAAGGUCAACUGAUACUGCAGGGCUAGAGUGCAGAAGGGGCAACUGGAAUUCUCGGUGUAGCGGUGAAAUGCGUAGAUAUCGAGAGGAACACCUGCGGCGAAGGCGGGUUGCUGGGCUGACACUGACGCUGAGGCGCGAAAGCCAGGGGAGCGAACGGG
rnacentral:rRNA from 1 species